GGCGCGGCGCGGCCCGGCCCGCCUCAGCGGCGGCCGCGGCGGGGGAGCCCUGCGGAGCAGCCUCCUCCGCGGACCCACCCGCGGCUCCGCCAGGAGCUCAGUCAUGUAAAGCCCCGUAACACAAGUGCAGUAGAUGAGACUGUUGCACGUUUGAGUGUCGCUGCUGCCCGCGCCGUAGACGUCUCCUGUGAUCAGCAGGCUGAAACGGGGAGCGGAGAGGCGGUAGCCGUCGGGCUCAGCCACUUUGCUGUUGCACAAAACUGGGGAACACAGACAUGGUGUCAGCAUCUUGCCUUUCCAAAAAAAAACCCAGGAGGAAGCUAGAAGCUGAUCUGCAUUGCAGUCCAUACACUGCAGAUGUAAGCCAGGCUGCACCUCUGUGUUCAGAGGUGACUCACCAAGACAAGGAGAAAACCGUGGCACUGAAAGCCAUUUAAGUUACAUCCGGAACAAGGCAGUGAAGGCUGCUGUUGGGAGUCCUGACUGCCAGCAGCGGAGUUGGUUCGGCUGGAUGCACUGCAGCCUGGAACAGCCAGGUCCCAAAGGCAGUGGCGGGCACCUUACGCGUUGGUACUACUGCGAGGAGAAAGGCACUGGCAGAUUUUGGCAAAUUUCACAUAAUGGAAAAAAAUUCUCACGUAACUGCACAAUGGUGGCUUGUCACCUGCAGACAGGUUGCAGCCGUGCUGGUCAUCUCAAGCUUGGCAAACAAGGUACAUCUCUGCCUGCUGUUCACUUUCUUGCUCACAAAAGCUUUGCAGAAGUGAUCUCUUCUUUCGCAUCACUGUCAGUGAUCUCUCUGCUCUAUUACCAGCAAGCCCAGCAUCUCUUCCAUUUCCUUCAUAGCCAGAAAAACUUAGGAAUCUUUAUGAACGACUGCUGCUUAUCCUAAAUUAUUUGAGUUCAUGGUUCUGACUGUUGUUGCAAGCACACAAAACCAAGCAGGACACUGAGUGGAUGAACGCACAGGCACUGGCAGGCUGAAACAGCUACUGCUCUGAAGGACAUAAAGGAGAGACAUGUUUGCACAUGGCACAGACCAGUUUGCAGAAGAGCACUGUUACGUUUGUGAGAUGGACUUACCCACAAAUUCUAGCUGCAUUUGACUACCAGCAAUCUCAGCAAGAAUCCAGGCCCUGAGCUGUGGUAGCUUUAUGUUCCUGUGUGAGCCCGGAACAGGCACCUUGUGUGAGUAGGUACUUAAAGAAAGAUACCUGCUGGAAAAGUAGGUAGUUGCCUAUAUGGGAGGAAGAAGAAAAAAAAAAGGAAAAGAAAAAAAAGAAAAGAAAAAAAAAGCCCUCUAGGCAAUUCAGUGAUAGCUUCCCCAGGUUCAGCUGCCUUCAGACAAAGAAAACUGAUCUGGAGGUUCACACCAUGCCCGCCGACUGUCUCCUUAGUACCUGCAGAGCAGGGAUGGCUUUCUUGCUCUAUCUCCAUAUCUAUGUGGGAUCUAUCAAGGCAGAAGGCUGCAAAUCUUUGCAGCCCUGAGGUUCAUGUAUAUCUGUAUUCUCUAUACGUUCUAGAAGGUGGCUAGAACUAAAGUUCACUGGCCGAUAUUCUUGAUUUCUCCUCUCCAACCAGCCUGAGAGUUCUUGCUUUACAGAAGCAAAUUAUUCCCAGAUUUGUCGGCCUCAAAAUGGACCUGUCAGGAAUAUGGAAUGAAGAAAUCAGUUUACCCUUCCACCCUCCCUCUGAUCGCAUUAUUGUGUCCUUUGACUCCCUACCGGUUAAACAGUUUCCUGCUUUGACAAGUUCACAUCUGGAUUUUCUGCAGACCAGCACAGACCUUUACCACGCCAGCUUAGUGGGUUUCAUACGCACACUAAACAAGAGUAUUGCUCAGGCAAUUAUAGAUGAGGCACAACAGUUAUAAUAAGAACAGGACCAAAACAAAUCUUUGUAUACAGUUUGGGCAAUCUGACUAUUUCAAAAUCAGUUUCAAGUGUCAAUCAGUAAUCAAUUUACUUUACUGCAGUAGUAAAUAAAAACCAGGCAAGCACAUUUAUUUGUUGCUGGAAAUAGAUAGUGACGUGUUGUCAGAGUGUAUCAUGCCCCAGAUUGGAAGAGAAAAACCUCUUCAUUGCAUUUAUUGCCUUUAUUCCCUCUCCAUCCACCUCUCCCUACCCUUGCUCUUUUGAUGAACAGUCGUAAAGGAAAAUCUGAUUUUUCUUAUCGGAAUGUUCUUUUAUUCCUCUAACUGAAUUUCAGAUAAAUUUGGUAGCAACAACUGGAACUAGUUAUUUUCCUAUCUGUGUUUCCUGUAAAACAUGCAUCUAUCUGUGGCAGUCUUUUCUGAUAUUUGCCACGAACCUUACAUGAGAAGGGAUGAGGUUAAGAGCACUUGCCUUCAUAAUGAUAGGUUGUAUUUUCAAAUUAGAGAGUAUUUAUAUUUUUAGGUAUAAAUCAGAACUGUUUCCAGAACCUAUGAAGUAUGUACUUUCACUGAAAACAAGUGUUUUAUACAAAACCUUCUCCUUGUCUGCAGAAAAGGAUAUAAAGAAUGGAGACACUAGGUAGAGAAAAUGCUUACAAGAAUCCCAUAAUCAAAAUCUUCUCCAGAGUGCCAAUAUAAAAAGUUAGAAUAUUUCAUGCUGGUAGCAACUGGGAAUCUUAGCAAUUUCACAUUGUAUUUCAUUGUCUGAGAGAUAACUUACAUGAGUUUUAAUACAAGAACUUUACAUUUUUUUAAAAAAAUUUCAAUUUCAGGAUAGACAAUUGCCAUUCAAGAGAUACAGUAGCUUAGAAUAGGAGAACAGGGUUUUAUCAAUUUUUCUUAUCACUAGAUUCAGCUUCUUACCAGCAACUUUCAGAAACUGACUCUUCUCAUUUGCAGACUUCUUUACAUAUAUAAAUGAUAGGGAUUUCUGUGCAUUUUCUGGACAAACUGGCACAUACAAACGACAUGCUUCCUGAGAGGGUGUCCUGCUGUGUUUGGUAGUGAUCAUCUCAAUUUUUCUCCUGUGAAUGCUGCCAUUAAGUAGCUAAAGUACAAGUACAGAUGACAGAGAUCUGAUGCCACAUUCAACACUAGGAUCUGAUUCUGCACUCCAGAUGAUUGGGACUAUAAAAGUGGGAGGAGGACCACCAAGCAACAUUUAUACUCGGCUGCAAAGUAAACGAAUUUGGGUUAAUCUACCAUAGAUCAUUUGGGCAGUUUUUGGAAGCCUGCUUGUGCUUUGACCUAUUUCUCAGAGAAAAUCUUCAGCCCUACUUCUGCUAUAUUUAGAUGUCACUUCCCCUUUCGCUGUUGUAUGUAAUAAUUUAUUCUCCAGAGAACACUUCAAGAAAAAAGGAAAAAAGGGCAACUGCACAUCAGAAACCGAAGGAGAACUACCCAGCGUUUUGGAGAGGCUGUAGGUGUAGCACUGGCAUCUUCAGUAUUUCCUUCCAGACUACAAUGCAUUAAAUGCAUCUUUUUUAUUCUAUCCUACAUAAGUAACUUUCAAUAUUAACAUCCUAAAAAUAUGUAAGGUACAGGUAAAAUGCGUAAUACCUGGUGAAACAUGCUUUUUUUUGUUGGCUGACUGCCUAUCCUGGAUCCACCCCUCCUGCAAUUGCAAUGACUGCCAUCAUUACUGUGGCAGUUUUGGCGGGGGGGGGGGGG